UACGUAGGGUGCAAGCGUUAAUCGGGAUUACUGGGCGUAAAGCGUGCGCAGGCGGUUUUGUAAGACUGUCGUGAAAUCCCCGGGCUCAACCUGGGAAUGGCGAUGGUGACUGCAAGGCUAGAGUUUGGCAGAGGGGGGUAGAAUUCCACGUGUAGCAGUGAAAUGCGUAGAUAUGUGGAGGAACACCGAUGGCGAAGGCAGCCCCCUGGGUCAAAACUGACGCUCAUGCACGAAAGCGUGGGGAGCAAACAGG
rnacentral:rRNA from 1 species